GACGAACGCUGGCGGCGUGCUUAACACAUGCAAGUCGAACGGAAAGGCCCUGCUUUUGUUGCUUGCUCGAGUGGCGAACGGGUGAGUAACACGCGAGUAACCCGCCCUUGACUUUGUGAUAACUUCUGGAAACUGGGGCUAAUAUCGGAUAGGAGCUCCUGCUGCAUGGUGGGGGUUGGAAAGUUUCGGCGGUUGGGGAUGGACUCGAUGCUUAUGAGCUUCUUUGGCGGGUAGUGGCUUACCAAGGUUUUGACGGGUAGCCCGCCUAGGAGGGUUGACGGGCACCUUGGGACUGAGAUACGGAGCAGAAGGCUAUGGGAGGCAGCAGUGGGGAAUAUGGCGGAAUGGGGGGAAGCGUGAUGCAGAAGCCCCGCGUGCGGGAUAAUCGCUUUCGAGUUGUGAACCGAUUUCGAAGGUACCGUAGCGUGAGUGACGGUAAUGGGUCAGAAAGCACCGGCUAACUACGUG
rnacentral:rRNA from 1 species